UCUCCCCCCCCCCCCCCCGGCGGCGGCUGAGGGCGGCGUGAGGGGGGCGGCGGGCUGGGGGCCGCCUCAGGCCUGCGGCCGCUCGGAGUUGUGUGAGGGGUGCUGAUUAAGAAGGGUUUACGGCGUUGUUUACGUUCCUCUUGCCACACGAGAGUACAACGUCAGAAGGACUUUUUAAAGCCAGAGCUGUCGCGGUUUACAUUCCUCGUUGGCAGUGAGAGAGCACGCUGUGUCGCCCGGUCCCCACUGAUACAGUGCCAUACCUUUGCCAAGAUCAACUUUUAAAGGAAGCUACAGCUUUUGGUGCCAGCAUAGAUCGAGCCCAUUGUAUGUAAGCAAAGGGAACAGCAGGCAGUUCCGACGCUGCCCGUCCCUCAGGAGCGCACAGGGAACUGGAAGGGUGUGUGCUGCAGUGACCCGUGAGUAGAGCCUCUGACCGUAAUGAAAUCUGCACUGAUGAGAUCAGAGAGGAAACUACACCAGAUUUCUGGGAAGGACAACACAUAUCACCAGUACUGUGGGGAAAGGACUAAACACAGCCCAGGAAAAAAAAGCAUUAUUCAAGGACAACUCAUGUUUCCAGUUCAUCUAAAAAGGUAAAACUACCUUUAUAAGAUCCCAUAUUCCCCAUUAAACUUGGGUUACUUUUCAGUUAUUUUAUUUGUAUUUUAAACGUAGAUGAUGUCACAGUUUUCAUUUGGCCUUAAUUUUAUACCAGUCUUAGUAAUCCUAGAGAGAUAGUGCCAGAUUUAGGAUAUAGAACUCACCAAGGGAAUUCAACCAACAGUUUUCUCCCUGGCACACUACUGGGACAGAAAGGGGAGUCAACUAACUGCUUAGAUACAUUCUAAGGUACCAACAGUAAAGCUGUGACAUUUAGCCCUUGCUGUCAGUACAAGUUGUUGUGACUAGGUGUGAAGAAGUGUUGGAAUGUUAGAGCUGUAUACGAUGUAGACUAAAUGCUAUGUGGUUUAAAAAAAAUAGAGCAAAGAAUGUUUGAUAGUGCAAUCCUCUACAAGCAAUCCUCUAAAUAUAUGAUUCAUUUUCAUGUGAUGAUAUUUAAAAUGUU